rnacentral:tRNA from 1 species
GGCACGUCCGGGUCGAUGGGCAGGGUCUCCCAGCCGGUCACGCGGGAGUGGAUGUAGCCGCUGUAGCCGGCCAGGUUCGCGGCCUUGACGUACUC